AGAACGAACGCUGGCGGCAUGCCUAAUACAUGCAAGUCGAACGAACACUUCGGUGUUAGUGGCGCACGGGUGCGUAACGCGUGGGAAUCUGCCCUUGGGUUCGGAAUAACAGUUGGAAACGACUGCUAAUACCGGAUGAUGACGAAAGUCCAAAGAUUUAUCGCCCAGGGAUGAGCCCGCGUAGGAUUAGCUAGUUGGUGAGGUAAGGCUCACCGAGGCAACGAUCCUUAGCUGGUCUGAGAGGAUGAUCAGCCACACUGGGACUGACGACACGGCCAAGACUCCGUACGGGAGCAGCGAGGUAGGGAAUAGUUAGGAACAAGUGGGACGAAAGCCUAGACGUACCAGCAAGU
rnacentral:rRNA from 1 species